rnacentral:rRNA from 1 species
AUUGAACGCUGGCGGCAGGCCUAACACAUGCAAGUCGAGCGGAAGAAGGGAGCUUGCUCCUGGAUUCAGCGGCGGACGGGUGAGUAAUGCCUGGGAAUCUGCCUGGUAGUGGGGGAUAACGUCCGGAAACGGGCGCUAAUACCGCAUACGUCCUGAGGGAGAAAGUGGGGGAUCUUCGGACCUCACGCUAUCAGAUGAGCCUAGGUCGGAUUAGCUAGUUGGUGGGGUAAAGGCCUACCAAGGCGACGAUCCGUAACUGGUCUGAGAGGAUGAUCAGUCACACUGGAACUGAGACACGGUCCAGACUCCUACGGGAGGCAGCAGUGGGGAAUAUUGGACAAUGGGCGAAAGCCUGAUCCAGCCAUGCCGCGUGUGUGAAGAAGGUCUUCGGAUUGUAAAGCACUUUAAGUUGGGAGGAAGGGCAGUAAGUUAAUACCUUGCUGUUUUGACGUUACCAACAGAAUAAGCACCGGCUAACUUCGUG